rnacentral:lncRNA from 1 species
GGCCGUGCUAAGGCACGAUCCAAUACUAAGGGCUCGACUUGGUUGGAGGUUUGGUGGCCCACGGCCCAAGUCCGGCAUGGCCCUUCAGGGCUUGAGCUAACAUGGCCCAUCGUGCCAGGCACAAUGUGUGCCCAGGCCCGACACGGUCUGCGUGGUAGCUCAUAUGGGCCGUGCCUUGGCACUGCCCCUAUGGGCCAUUGCACGGUCCUCUUACCUCGGGA